rnacentral:rRNA from 1 species
GCUGGAAAGGCAGGAGGUACAGGGUGAGAGUCCCGUACACCACAGUGAGCAGCGGGUGAUCGAGAGGAGUAGGGCGGGACAGGUGGGAUUCUGGCUGCAUAGGGUGGGAGCAU